UGAAUAGAAGCUCAAAGGUAGCAAUUAGUUGUUAACUAAGGCGGGAUAAAGACUUUUAUCUAUUCA
rnacentral:tRNA from 1 species